UUAGUCCUACGGGGCGCAGCAGUGGGGAAUAUUGCACAAUGGGGGAAACCCUGAUGCAGCGACGCCGCGUGAGCGAAGAAGUACCUCGGUAUGUAAAGCUCUAUCAGCAGGGAAGAAGAUGACGGUACCUGACCAAGAAGCUCCGGCUAAAUACGUGCCAGCAGCCGCGGUAAUACGUAUGGAGCAAGCGUUAUCCGGAUUUACUGGGUGUAAAGGGAGCGCAGGCGGCCUUGCAAGCCUGAUGUGAAAGGCCGGGGCCCAACCCCGCGACUGCAUUGGAAACUGCGAGGCUGGCGUGUCGGAGA
rnacentral:rRNA from 1 species